UAUACAUACCUGGACUAAGACUAGUAAUUAUUUCCCCUUAUUUCAUGAUGGACGAAUGUAGUGCGAGUUAUAAAUAGACAAUUUUUCCCUUAAUUUUUUUCUCCCCUCUUCCUGCAUUUUUGGGUUGACUUUUUGGUCUAGAAUUGGAGAAAAGGGAUCAAAUUUGCAAUUUCAUAGCAGUUUUGGGUAAUACUGAUGAUAUUACAGCGGAGGGAUAGGGGGUGUAAAGUGUCUUUCUGCAGAGCAAUCAUUGUGUCGGAAGUGAGAUUUUCACCCCUGUCAACUUCAAAUCCGUGUAGCAAAAAAUCUAAAUGGUCAACCCCCUACAAAAUUAUGAUGAGGAGAUUGCCAAAUGUUGUCCCCAUUGUGCCUAUAAAGAUUGGAACCAACGGAAUGUUGAGCAAAAAGCUACAGCCUGUGAUGUUACAGUCAUUUAACAUUGAAGUCAAUGGGCAAGUAAUUGCUAGUCUGAGUCCUGAUGAUAUAAAGAAGCAUGGCCGACUCGGGAUGUUGAUAUUUUUUCAACGGCUUAUUUCCUGAAGUUUUGAAUGGAAAGUGUCAGAAAUGGUGCCAGGGUAAUGUUUCAUAGAGUGGAAUGAUUGACCUCAACACAAGUAUUAAAAAAAAAGAAGCAAAACAGGUCUACAUCUCAAAACCUGAUGUCUUCCUGGACUGGCUUUAGGAGAACGAUGAUGCAUAUCAAUUUCAUCCCUGAUCUCUAUGACACCUGUGGUGGAAGUGGAGGGCAAAUCGUAAUCAGUUUGGGUUCCAGCCCCGAGGACCUCUGUAAACUUUGCUUUUUGGUGAUGACUUAAUUUCCGAGCUUGAAAAGGACGCCCGUGUGUUUAUCAUGGCCUCUCAUAUUGGAAGAUAACAUUAAUGGCUUGUGUGUUGAUCGACGGUUGUGCAUAUCUCUUGGUCAGGAAAGUUGUAGGCACCAUCGCCAUUGUAAAUCAUUUGACAGGCCCGAGUGAACAGGGCGACCUAUGAUUGGUCAGCAAUGUAUCGGAUUCCAUAAUGGGGGGUGGGGAUGAAAAAACUGUUGUAGUGUUACAUAAUCAGAUUAUUUCAACUUACUUAUCCUGUGGAAAUACAGCUAGAUAGGAGAUAUUUUGAAAUUCAUAGGCACUGCAUGUUUCAACAUUUUAGAUUUGACCACAAUUUGGCACUUGAAACUAUGUUAACAGAGAAAAACUGUGUGGUUUUCGAUGAAAGUGUUAAAAGUCUAAUAUUGCAUCAUGAUUACUGUUUUAAAGUAUUUUCGUGUUUGAUUUAUAUUGAAUUCAUCUCAUCUUUUUGAAGAAUGCAUUUAUGUUCAAAAAUAAAAAUGUUCUGUGGAAUUCAAAAUUCAUGUGCUUUUAAAUUAUCAGAUUCCAAACUGGGGGGUGGGGAUGAAAAAGCUGUUGUAGUGUUACAUAAUCAGAUUAUUUCAACUUACUUAUCCUAUGGAAAUACAGCUAUAUAGGAGAUAUUUUAAAAUUGAUAGGCACUGCAUGUUUCAACAUUUUAGAUUUGACCACAAUUUGGCACUUGAAACUACGUUAACAGAGAAAAACUGUGUGGUUUUCGAUGAAAGUGUUAAAAAGUCUAAUAUUGCAUCAUGAUUACUGUUUUAAAGUAUUUUCGUGUUUGAUUUAUAUUGAAUUUAUCUCAUCUUUUUACAGAAUGCAUUUAUGUUCAAAAAUAAAAAUGUUCUGUUUAAUUCAAAAUUCAUGUGCUUUUAAAUUUCUGUCUGAAAUUCCGCAGUUUUCUGAUGUAUUAUAGUGUUUGCAGAAUGCCGCACAGCUCAUCUGAAAAUGCAUAGAUUUUCAUAUUCUUUGGCCAGGGAAUUGCAUAUAUGUUUGUUUAUUAGAUAACAACAGAUUUGUUUAAACUGCAGAAACAUGUGAGGUAUAUAGGACUAAGACUAGUAAUUAUUUCCCCUUAUUUCAUGAUGGACGAAUGUAGUGCGAGUUAUUAAUAGACAAUUUUUCCCUUAAUUUUUUUCUCCCCUCUUCCUGCAUUUUUGGGUUGACUUUUUGGUCUAGAAUUGGAGAAAAGGGAUCAAAUUUGCAAUUUCAUAGCAGUUUUGGGUAAUACUGAUGAUAUUACAGCGGAGGGAUAGGGGGUGUAAAGUGUCUUUCUGCAGAGCAAUCAUUGUGUCGGAAGUGAGAUUUUCACCCCUGUCAACUUCAAAUCCGUGUAGCAAAAAAUCUAAAUGGUCAACCCCCUACAAAAUUAUGAUGAGGAGAUUGCCAAAUGUUGUCCCCAUUGUGCCUAUAAAGAUUGGAACCAACGGAAUGUUGAGCAAAAAGCUACAGCCUGUGAUGUUACAGUCAUUUAACAUUGAAG